GCCUGGAUAGCUCAAUUGGUAGAACAUUAGACUUUUAAUCUGGGGGUUCUGGGUUUAAAUCCCAGUCCAAGUG
rnacentral:tRNA from 1 species